rnacentral:lncRNA from 1 species
CAUUAUCCUAUUCUUUGCAAGUGUUAUCAUUGUACCCUGUUUUUCCUUCCAAAUAAUCUUGUUUUUUACUGCCUUGGUAUAAAAAUAAAAGGUUUGAUAAAACAGUAAGUGAUAAAUUGUAAUACUUUUCCCAUACAAACAGGAAAAACACAAGGAUCCUUGYGAUAACCUUGAAAUGGCUGGAAAACAAACUAAAAAGAUACGCUGAAGGGCUUUUUUUAUUCUCAGCAGUGCUAGAAAAUAUGUACUCACAUCACAAGAGCAUGGAGUAUUAGUGCUAUGCAGACAAUAUCAGAGGUCAAUGCAGAAGUCUACUUAAACUGUCAUCAAGGCAAAUUUUCAAGUUUUUAUGACUUUGAAGGCUAAUUUUUCUUAAUUUUCCUUGGAUGUCUAAUUUAAAUUAUAUUGGCAACAGUUGGAUAAAGAGAAGGUGGAAGGUAACAGAAUUACUGCACAGACUCACAAGAAGUGAAAAUUGUGAAAACUUUACUGUUUACUCAUGGCAAGGAAAGAGACAACUUUAAGGGAAUUGGUUUGCUUAAAAAGAAACAGGAGUAGGCAAACCUGGUCAACAUUUUUUCAAUUUGAAAACUUUUUAGCGUGCAAGAGGUGAAAACAUAAGCUUUUCAAUUUUUACUUUUUCUCUCUGGUAGUAAUGAUUUUUUUUUUCUUUUUCAGACACUUCUAUUAACCUGUUUUGGUGCUUGUAGAAAGUAAGGAACUGUCUAACAUUCUGGAAAUCAGCAAAGUUGCUCAAGGAUUUAAGCCUGGAAGAAGAGAGCCAUUUACACAAGUAUCAGGAAGAGACAAGCCCACAGAGCUGAAAUUCCUUGUUAAGGUGGUUGUCGGAGAACGGAUGCAGAAAAUGGAAGUGUGGAACAAAGUCAUGAGCCUGAUGAGAAAUAGAAAUAUCAGAGAGCCUCAAAUCAAAGGAAGAGUUCUGAUUUUCUUACACAGAAACCAUUUGCUUUUCUCUGCCUUGGCAAAAUACAACUUGUUCAUUAUAUUGUGUGAGCCUUUGAUAUAAGUCAGCCAGAGAAACUACAGCAACCAAAACUUGAGUCCUAGUAGCCUGUGGUAAUACAAUCAUGUCAUCUCCUGAAGAUAUGGAAGAGAAGCGGUGCAACUGGCACACAGGGGCUUCAAUUUCCUGUUUACUU